ACUAUCGUUCCACCAGUACUUGCAUCACGUCUGAAGUUCUCCCCUCGCCGAGUAGCCGCUUCGCGUUCGUCGGCGGCAACCACCAGUCCACCACCACGAUGGAUAUGUUUGCUGAGCUGCGAUCCAACGUGAUGAGGCACUCAUCUCUGGAAGGAUCGAAUAAUGUGCUAGUUAAAUUUGAACAAAAUGAGCGUGUGGCUGCAGCUAGGAAAGGUGGAGAUGCAAGUUAGUUGGACAGCGAAUCACAGCCGAAACGAUCUGAAAAUGUUGUUUUUGAUGUCAAUGACAAUAUGACCUCAAACAUGUCCAAGAAAGAAAAAGGUAGGGACCAUGACGAAGCAGCAAACUGUGAGAACUCUGCAGUUAGCACAAGCAGAUAUCGGAAUGGUCAUGAAGAUUUUCCGCGCUAAGAGAGAUUGGAAGACAGGUUGGAAAAAUGAAGAUUGUAUCGAGGACAUUGCUGUAUGUGUUGGUUCCGAUGAUGAAGAGGGUUCAACAGAAGAAGGUGCAGGUCGACCCUAAGGAUCAAGAAGACUUUGACAGGGCACUGAAAGCCAUUCAAGCUUGGAGUCACGUAAGCUGACUACUGAAGCAGCGGACAAAAGAUGUGUGGGAAUCCGGUGGUGUUAGCGAGGUGUGCAUUCAAGGUGCUUGUGAAGGAAGGACAUAAGCAGCAGACAAAGCAAAUGCCCAUCCGGGGGGGACUGCCCCACUGGUGCCAGAGCAACAGAAUGCUGCUGAGCUCGAGGAGAAGCAGAACAUGAAGCGGAAAAUUCUUGGAUACAACGAAAGGUAGGAAGAAGAAGAAGAACUGAACGGAGCGUUCGCCAGGAAGUGGGAACGGCUGGUGUCAAGGAGGAAGGACUGACGAGCACCCUGCUGGUCGCGUUAUCUGGGACGGCCCAAACAGAGGUGGUGGUGUACAGUGCAGCACAGCGGCACUACUUGGGUUGCUGGUGGGUUCUUCCGUGGCUAUGGAAGGGAGGUGAGCUGAUGCCACUGCGUUCAUGGUUUGGUUUGGUAAUGGUUUGCCCCAGGAAAGAGCCACCUCAGUAUCGUUCCAUGAACGUAUUUGCAUCAGGAGUUGUGCGACGUGAGAACGGUUUGCAUCAGGAGUUGGCUCGUGGUAUGUGGAACUAGUUUGUUUAUGUUGCUAUGCUUGUACACAGGACCGUUUUCACUACUACCUCAGAUCAGAUGUCAGGAUGCUUAUGGCGCGCAUGAUCUGAGCACGAGAAUUUUCGUACAAUUUUCUUCUUCAGAUGUAAAGUCUCUCCUUCGCUGCCCUGCUUACUCAUAUUAUUUACGCUGCACAUGCUCCUGGUGCCUCCUAUUACCAUGUUUAUGCUUUCAACACUCCAUGAUUAUUCUUCCCCCCCCCCCCCCCCCCCCCCCCCCCUGUACACUGCCAUCCGUGCAUGUCUGCCAUGACUGGCAUUGCUC
rnacentral:lncRNA from 1 species